rnacentral:rRNA from 1 species
CCUACGGGAGGCAGCAGUGGGGAAUAUUGCACAAUGGGGGAAACCCUGAUGCAGCGACGCCGCGUGAGUGAAGAAGUAUUUCGGUAUGUAAAGCUCUAUCAGCAGGGAAGAAAAUGACGGUACCUGAUUCAGAAUCCCCGUCUAACUACGUGCCAGAAGCCGCGGUAAUACGUAGGGGGAAAGCGUUAUCCGGAUUUACUGGGUGUAAAGGGAGCUUAGACGGUGAUGCAAGUCAGAAGUGAAAGCCCGGGGGUCAACGCCGGGGCUGCGUUUGAAACUGUGUGACUGGAGUGCAGGAGAGGUAAGCGGAAUUCCUGGUGUAGCGGUGAAAUGCGUAGAUAUCAGGAGGAACACCAGUGGCGAAGGCGGCUUACUGGACUGUAACUGACGUUGAGGCUCGAAAGCGUGGGGAGCAAACAGGAUUAGAUACCCUUGUAGUC